rnacentral:lncRNA from 1 species
CAAAGGCAGGAAAGGCUUGGUAGUCUUUGAUGUGCGUAAGAGAAGUCAGCUAGAGUUUUGGUAAAGUGGUGUGAAACACACUCACACACACACACACACUCCCCUUUCUUUACCAAAUAUGAAAGAUUCUCUCUGCCUCCUCCACCCUCAAAUAAUGGUCCGUUUUAAUAGCUGGGAGACUCUUUUGUUAUCCUAGCAGGGUGGAGAAUAUUUCUUCAGCUCUUUUGCUUUACUUUGCUCAGGAAAACCCUUCAAAUAGGACUCCUGCUUCCCUUUAUUGCAAAUGGUGCUGCAAAAAGGCCGGGAGAGUUUACAGAAUGAUGUCGUGGAGAAGAAAAUACACUGGCUCCGAAACCAGAGGACUUCCCCAAGGUCACACAUCUAAUCCUGGCCCGAAUACUACUUCCUCUGUUUCAAUGAAAGUUACGCAUAUGCAAAUUCGAAAUCUACUUAAUUGACAAAGUGAUGUGUGUCCCAGGAAUUGUUUGUGCAACUAACUGCAAGUGAAUCUGAGAGAGGCGAGGGCGUCAGAAGGGCGAGCGUCUGGGAUAUUUUAAUAUUCAGUAUUCCCAGACUCAGCAGGCAGCAGGCUAAAUCUGUCCGCUGAUGGGCAGGCAUGAAUUAUGAAACCACUCACGUAGGUUGAGAGGUUGCCCGGUGCUGGGGAAGUGUGUCCACCAGCGUCUCCUCAAGCAGGUGGGGGGAAGGGUCGCUCCCCAGUCGGGAGGGAAGGUCGGAUGUGGACAGCUUGCAGUUCCUGCCCAGUAAAACACCAUCUGCAGAUGAGGAGGUCAAAGUGCUGAGUUCCAGUCCUGCAUCUGCUGUCACCGCCGGCCAUGAUGUAGGGCAAGUCACUCCCCCAGUGGGCUUUCAGCUUCUCCUUCUAAAAGCUGAUCUCCAGGGCCCUUCCAGCUCCACAGAUUUCUGGUAUUCACUGACGGAUGCUCUUGGACUUUGGAACCACAGUGUGUUUGGGAGAUUUUGCUUUUGAAGGUUUCCUUUUGAGAUUGCCUUCAUUCACUGGGCAUCUUCUUGCUGAGAAAUACCAUCAAGAAAGCAAAGACUGAAGUUCCUUUUCCUUCCCCAAAUGUGAUGCUUAAAUAAAAUUCAGUUUUGUGGCUCA